ensembl:snRNA U6 U6 spliceosomal RNA
AUGCUUGCUUCAGCAGCAUAUAUUCUAAAAGUGGAGUGCUAGAGAAGAUAAGCGUGGCUCCUGAACCAAGACGACAUGCAAAUAUCUGAAGCAUUCCAAGUGUAC